CCCCCCUUCCCUAACAAGCAAAGUUGGUUGUGAUAACUCUGUAUAGGCCAAGGAGGCUAUGGUUCUGCCAUCUGAUAGAGCUGAAACUGAAUUCACCAUUACAGCUAUCACCCAACAGCUUUCCAAAGCACUCUUCUCCACCCAAAUAGUCUUCAGUUGAGAAGCCUGGUUAUUGAAAACCUGUCUUCUGAGGUCAUCAGGACUUUGCUCGUGUCCAGGAGAGUCUCCAGGAUAAAAGCCUGUUCCAUCGGGACCAAGUUUAGCCUUUGGUGCCAGGAGAGCAAUGCUAAUCCAAGAGAUUCUGGAACUAGAUCUACCUUUGAAUUUUUCUAAGAAUAGAUGGAUUAAGGUUCUCAGCCCCACACCAUAGCACAACAGGUAUCAGCCAUUAGAAGAGUUCUCUCUCUCUCUGGAACAAAAUCCCCAGGUAGUCAGAUUUCUCAGAGCAGUCAGCCUGGCCAGACCAGUGGUUAGACCAGUCUUUCCUAAAUGGGACAUACUGCAGGUGUCGAAGACCCUAACCACUCACCCUUUUGAGCCUCUCUAUAUCAGCCUUGUAUAUCUCCAUCAAAACCUGUUUUCUGGUUGCCAUCAUAUCUGGUAGUCAUGUUUCAGAGCUAUCUGUAUAGGAAUCCUAUUAUAUGUUCCAUGAGGACAAGGUGAUACUGAAAACACCAGAGUCUUUUCUCCCCUGGGUUCUUUUUUCCCUAUCUUGGAAGAGAUUAUCCUUCCUUCUCCCUAAAGCCACAGCACCUGAUUGAGAAGCUGUGGCACACUUUAGAUGUCAGAAGAGCACUGAAAAAUCUCUCACCCUCACAGAAUCCAUGCAGAGGUAAGGUGUUCUGUGUGUCUCCUUUCACUCAAAAUGUUAAGAGCUCAGAGUCUCCAGACUAGAUGGGUCAGAUUGUGCAUUAUUGAGGCCUUACAAAGUGUCUGGCACUCCUGUUCCAGAAGAAAUCAGGGCACAGUUCGUGAGAUCCAUGGCUACCCCAAGGGCCAAAUGAGCAUGUACUUCCACCGUAGAGAUAUGCAGAGCACCCACGUUGUCAUGGGUUAACACCUUUAUCAAACACUACAAAGUGGAUUUUCUGUCCUCCACAGAAGCCGUCUCCGGUGGUGGUCCUGUAAUGACCUUGCCUUUUGGACAAUUCUCAAUGCGGUGGGGAGUCUGUCUUUCUUUCAGUUUGCCUUUUCUUGUUCCUUAUUAUUCCUGUUCCUUGGUGACACUGGACUGCAGAAUGGAAAAUUUCGUAUUUGAUGAUUUCCUUUCUGCUAACAGUAUCUCCCACAAUUUUACUCACCCAAGAUGGCUUUCUGUCAAGAGUCAAUAUUUUAUUUGGUGUAUUUACCCUGCAGGGAGUUGACCUGGCAUAUGUGGUUAAUGAAUUGGACAUUAAUGUUAGUUAUACUUUUUCUCUUGAGUUUUUCACCCAGCUUUGGAAUGACUGACUUGUUGGCAAGUGGGAGAAGAGUGGGAAUGGGCAUGGUAUACACAAGCCACACUGCAGCUUUGAACCACCUCCCGAAGCUGCAGAUAGGAAGAGCACAGCCCACACAUAGCAGAAUUGUGGGAGAUGUUUCUAGCAGAAACGGAAUUACCAGGUAAGGAAGUUUCUGUUCUGCCAAUUGUAAAUGCUGGUGCUGCUCCACCUGUGGUAGCAAUGGUGGGUGUGUUAGUGUAGGCAGGGCUUUAGGCUGCCACUAGGAUGUUAAGCACUGUCAUAAAUUGUUUCAGAGCAAGUCUAAACACCAUCGUGGUAAAAUACUAGUGAUAACCAACACUUUGUUUAUGCAGGUACUUCCAUCAUUGUCACUGCUGGUUGAGGUGAAUCGAUGUUAGCAAUGGAGGGAAAACUCUAGUAUAGACAAGGCUUAAAGCACAAGUCAGUCCCAAGUCCCUUAAGGCAAGUAGAAGAAUAAGAUGAAACAUUCAGGUUCUGUCUAUAUGUACAGCAGUGCAGACUAAAGCACUCAAGUGAAGAUGCUACUAAGCCAAUGGGAGAGCUUCUCCUGUUGGUGUAGUUGUACUGCCGCUUACAGAGGUGGAUUAUCUGUCCACGGACUAGCGCUGUCUACACUGGGGGAUAGGUUGUUAUAACUACAUCACUCAGGAGUUGUGGAUUUUUCACACCCCUGUGUGACACAGUUAUACCAAUGUAAGUUUGUGGGUUAGACCUGUCUUGCAUAGCACCUUAUGCCUGAGGAAUUUAGAGCACUUCACACAAACAUUAAGACCCUGAAAUGUUUUGUCCAUGGGGAAAUCUCUGUACACCACAGAAAUCAAUAUGGCUACAUGCAGGUACAGCUGUUCUCCAGCAAACAGUGAAUUGCAGGAUUUGGUCUUAUGUCUCUUUAAGUAGGAAAAUAGAUCAGCUAUAGAUAUGGUAAAAUAGCAACAAUAUUUCCUAAAACAACCAGUUAAGGGUAAACUUAGAUCAAGAUUAAAUCACCAAUAUUUUAUUACCAGGAUACACUAACUCUGUAGUGAACACAUGCAUGUCAGAGCAGAAGCCAGGUGGGGGGACAGCAAAGUAAUUAUUUAGCUGAGGACCCAGUUAAGCAGAUCAAAUAGGCAUUAAUCAAUCAGGCAAUUAAUUAGGAGCAGAUCAGUUAGUUAAGAUGAUUGAGGUGAAGAUUGAUGUUCUAAUUAAGUGGUCAUUGCUGAGAAGACAUAGGACAUUUUAAUGAGGUUGCUGCAAAUCCCCAGGUGAAGUACCAAGUAGAGGAUAGUGGCUCAGCCAGCAGAGGAGUGAAAGUUUGUGGAUGGGAUCAGUCCCUUGCUGCUGGUCCCCAUGCCUGCCCUGCUUAAUGAAGAGAGC